rnacentral:rRNA from 1 species
CCUACGGGUGGCAGCAGUGAGGAAUAUUGGUCAAUGGGCGUAAGCCUGAACCAGCCAAGUCGCGUGAGGGAUGAAGGUUCUAUGGAUCGUAAACCUCUUUUAUAAGGGACUAAAGUGCGGUACGUGUCCCUUUUUGUAUGUACCUUAUGAAUAAGGAUCGGCUAACUCCGUGCCAGCAGCCGAGGUAAUCAGGAGGAUCCGAGCGUUAUCCGGAUUUAUUGGGUUUAAAGGGUGCGUAGGCGGGCUUUUAAGUCAGCGGUGAAAGUCUGUGGCUCAACCCUAGAAUUGCCGUUGAUACUGGAAGGCUUGAGUAUGUUUGAGGCAGGCGGAAUGCGUGGUGUAGCGGUGAAAUGCUUAGAUAUCACGCAGAACACCGAUUGCGAAGGCAGCCUGCCAAGCCAUGACUGACGCUGAUGCACGAAAGCGUGGGGAUCAAACAGGAUUAGAUACCCGGGUAGUC